GCGCAGCUAGCUGCGUGAAGUAAUGUGAAUUGCAGACACAUUGAACAUCGACAUUUCGAACGCAUAUUGCGGAAUCGGGUUCUUCCCGGUUCCAGGUUCUCUUGACGGCGUCAUU
rnacentral:rRNA from 1 species